UACAGGGGGGGCAAGCGUUGUUCGGAAUUACUGGGCGUAAAGGGCUCGUAGGCGGCCAACUAAGUCACACGUGAAAUCCCCAGGCUUAACCUGGGAACUGCGUGUGAUACUGGAUGGCUUGAAUCCGGGAGAGGGAUGCAGAAUUCCAGGUGUAGCGGUGAAAUGCGUAGAGAUCAGGAAGAACACCCGUGGCGAAGGCGGCACUCUGGGCCUGUACUGACGCUGAGACGCGAAAGCGCGGGGAGCGAACGGG
rnacentral:rRNA from 1 species